AUAAGGGUGAGAGGGGAUCUCUCCCCCCCUCUGAUUGUCUGUUAGUAAGCUGCGAAACUUAUCAGUAACAGAACAAUCAGUAUGAUGACCUGGUGCAUCAUAACCCUUUCCUUAUUAAAGCCCCUUCCUCGGGAGGGGCUUUCCC
rnacentral:sRNA from 1 species